rnacentral:rRNA from 1 species
AACGAACGCUGGCGGCAGGCUUAACACAUGCAAGUCGAGCGCCCCGCAAGGGGAGCGGCAGACGGGUGAGUAACGCGUGGGAAUCUACCGUGCCCUACGGAAUAGCUCCGGGAAACUGGAAUUAAUACCGUAUACGCCCUACGGGGGAAAGAUUUAUCGGGGUAUGAUGAGCCGGGGUUGGAGUAGCUAGUUGGUGGGGUAAAGGCCUACCAAGGCGACGAUCCAUAGCUGGUCUGAGAGGAUGAUCAGCCACAUUGGGACUGAGACACGGCCCAAACUCCUACGGGAGGCAGCAGUGGGGAAUAUUGGACAAUGGGCGCAAGCCUGAUCCAGCCAUGCCGCGUGAGUGAUGAAGGUCUUAGGAUUGUAAAGCUCUUUCACCGGUGAAGAUAAUGACGGUAACCGGAGAAGAAGCCCCGGCUAACUUCGUGCCAGCCGCCGCAGUAA